GACGAACGCUGGCGGCGUGCUUAACACAUGCAAGUCGAACGGAAAGGCCCUGCUUUUGUGGGGUGCUCGAGUGGCGAACGGGUGAGUAACACGUGAGUAACCUGCCCUUGACUUUGGGAUAACUUCAGGAAACUGGGGCUACUACCGGAUAGGAGCUCCUGCUGCAUGGUGGGGGUUGGAAAGUUUCGGCGGUUGGGGAUGGACUCGCGGCUUAUCAGCUUGUUGGUGGGGUAGUGGCUUACCAAGGCUUUGACGGGUAGCCGGCCUGAGAGGGUGACCGGCCACAUUGGGACUGAGAUACGGCCCAGACUCCUACGGGAGGCAGCAGUGGGGAAUAUUGCACAAUGGGCGGAAGCCUGAUGCAGCAACGCCGCGUGCGGGAUGACGGCCUUCGGGUUGUAAACCGCUUUCGCCUGUGACGAAGCGUGAGCGACGGUAAUGGGUAAAGAAGCACCGGCUAACUACGUG
rnacentral:rRNA from 1 species